rnacentral:rRNA from 1 species
AUUGAACGCUGGCGGCAGGCCUAACACAUGCAAGUCGAGCGGACGAAGGGAGCUUGCGCCUGGAUUCAGCGGCGGACGGGUGAGUAAUGCCUAGGAAUCUGCCUGGUAGUGGGGGAUAACGUCCGGAAACGGGCGCUAAUACCGCAUACGACCUGAGGGAGAAAGGGGGGGAUCUUCGGACCUCACGCUAUCAGAUGAGCCUACGUCGGAUUAGCUAGUUGGUGGGGUAAAGGACUACCAAGGCGACGAUCCGUAACUGGUCUGAGAGGAUGCUCAGUCACCCUGCAACGGAGCCUCGCCCCAGACCCCUGCGGGAGGCAGCGGUCGGGAACAGUGGCCCGAGGGCGCAGGCCUUCUCCUGGCCUGCCGCGUAUGGCAAGAAGGUCCUCCGAUGGUAAAGGACUUUAAGUUGGGAGGACGGGCAGUAAGUUUAUACCUUCCUAUUUUGACGUUACCAACAGAAUAAGCACCGGCUAACUUCGUG